rnacentral:rRNA from 1 species
GGUUAAGCGACUAAGCGUACACGGUGGAUGCCCUGGCAGUCAGAGGCGAUGAAGGGCGUGCUAAUCUGCGAUAAGCGCCGGUAAGGUGAUAUGAACCGUUAUAACCGGCGAUACCCGAAUGGGGAAACCCAGUGUGAUUCGUCACACUAUCAUUAACUGAAUCCAUAGGUUAAUGAGGCGAACCGGGGGAACUGAAACAUCUAAGUACCCCGAGGAAAAGAAAUCAACCGAGAUUCCCCCAGUAGCGGCGAGCGAACGGGGAGGAGCCCAGAGCCUGAAUCAGCAUGUGUGUUAGUGGAAGCGUCUGGAAAGGCGCGCGAUACAGGGUGACAGCCCCGUACACAAAAGCGCAUGUGCUGUGAGCUCGAUGAGUAGGGCGGGACACGUGGUAUCCUGUCUGAAUAUGGGGGGACCAUCCUCCAAGGCUAAAUACUCCUGACUGACCGAUAGUGAACCAGUACCGUGAGGGAAAGGCGAAAAGAACCCCGGCGAGGGGAGUGAAAAAGAACCUGAAACCGUGUACGUACAAGCAGUGGGAGCACAGGUUUACCUGUGUGACUGCGUACCUUUUGUAUAAUGGGUCAGCGACUUAUAUUCUGUAGCAAGGUUAACCGUAUAGGGGAGCCGAAGGGAAACCGAGUCUUAACCGGGCGUUAAGUUGCAGGGUAUAGACCCGAAACCCGGUGAUCUAGCCAUGGGCAGGUUGAAGGUUGGGUAACACUAACUGGAGGACCGAACCGACUAAUGUUGAAAAAUUAGCGGAUGACCUGUGGCUGGGGGUGAAAGGCCAAUCAAACCGGGAGAUAGCUGGUUCUCCCCGAAAGCUAUUUAGGUAGCGCCUCGUGAAUUCAUCUCCGGGGGUAGAGCACUGUUUCGGCUAGGGGGCCAUCCCGGCUUACCAACCCGAUGCAAACUGCGAAUACCGGAGAAUGUUAUCACGGGAGACACACGGCGGGUGCUAACGUCCGUCGUGAAGAGGGAAACAACCCAGACCGCCAGCUAAGGUCCCAAAGUCAUGGUUAAGUGGGAAACGAUGUGGGAAGGCCCAGACAGCCAGGAUGUUGGCUUAGAAGCAGCCAUCAUUUAAAGAAAGCGUAAUAGCUCACUGGUCGAGUCGGCCUGCGCG